GACGAACGCUGGCGGCGUGCUUAACACAUGCAAGUCGAACGAAGUAGCGAACGGGUGAGUAACGCGUAAUCAAACUGCCCUGCAGAGGGGGACAACAGUUAGAAACGACUGCUAAUACCGCAUACUGAAGUAGGGGAUUGCGUAUGAUUUGCUAGUUGGAUGGGUAACGGCCCACAAGGGCGAUGAUAAGGAGCCGUUCUGAGAGGUGGAACGGCCACAUUGGGACUGAGACACGGCCCAGACUCCUACGGGAGGCAGCAGUGGGGAAUCUUCCGCAAUGGACGAAAGUCUGACGGAGCAACGCCGCGUGAGUGAUGACGGCCUUCGGGUUGUAAAGCUCUGUUAAUCGGGACGCGGUACCGGAAUAGAAAGCCACGGCUAACUACGUGCCAGCCGCCGCGGUAAUUC
rnacentral:rRNA from 1 species